rnacentral:rRNA from 1 species
GAGUGCCUACGGGGCGCAGCAGUAGGGAAUCUUCCACAAUGGACGAAAGUCUGAUGGAGCAACGCCGCGUGAGUGAAGAAGGGUUUCGGCUCGUAAAGCUCUGUUGGUAGUGAAGAAAGAUAGAGGUAGUAACUGGCCUUUAUUUGACGGUAAUUACUUAGAAAGUCACGGCUAACUACGUGCCAGCAGCCGCGGUAAUACGUAGGUGGCAAGCGUUGUCCGGAUUUAUUUGGUUUAAAGGGGGCGUAG